AACGAACGCUGGCGGCAUGCCUAACACAUGCAAGUCGAACGAGACCUUCGGGUCUAGUGGCGCACGGGUGCGUAACGCGUGGGAACCUGCCCUUAGGUUCGGAAUAACUCCCCGAAAGGGGUGCUAAUACCGGAUAAUGUCUUCGGACCAAAGAUUUAUCGCCAAUGGAUGGGCCCGCGUUGGAUUAGCUAGUUGGUAGGGUAAAAGCCUACCAAGGCGACGAUCCAUAGCUGGUCUGAGAGGAUGAUCAGCCACACUGGGACUGAGACACGGCCCAGACUCCUACGGGAGGCAGCAGUGGGGAAUAUUGGACAAUGGGCGAAAGCCUGAUCCAGCCAUGCCGCGUGAGUGAUGAAGGCCUUAGGGUUGUAAAGCUCUUUUACCCGGGAUGAUAAUGACGGUACCGGGAGAAUAAGCUCCGGCUAACUCCGUG
rnacentral:rRNA from 1 species